UAAAAUGGAAGGUGUGGGUGGGAAGGGGAGCAAUUAGAUACCUUACUCUCCGGCUGGUAAAGGACUGAAAACUGACAAGCUAUGCUGUUAGCUCUGUUUGUUUUCUUCAUCUUACUAAAUUCCUUGAGUAGUUCAAAAUCACAGAAAUUCUGAUUCGUGACUUGUUUCUAAAUCAUUUUUGCAAACAGGAGAUGAUGCCCUGUGAUUUCUCCCUUCUACUUAGCCUGCUUAGUGUCUCAGUUUACAGUACUUAGCACCAGUGCACGAUGCAUUAGUGAUUAGUUGGUGGGAACUGUAGUAGUGUUUAGCACAAAAGGCUACAGUGGAAAUGAAAAGUAUGCAUGUAACGAUGGAUUAUGCUGAUAGCCCCAAGAGAACACCAGAGCAGUUCUGACAACGCCUUUAUUUAAGUAGGUGCUGUGAAUGUGGUUGGCAUCUUUCUGAAUAAUGCUGUCAUUAUCUAACUGUACACGUUGGUGCUUUUGCCUCCAUAAAACAGAUUUUUUUAUUAACUCAAAAGCUAUUAUCUAGCUUAAAAACAACCCCGCCCCCCCCCCAUAUUGUCCCUGCUUUUUAGUUUGUAAGUUUGUUGUUUGUAGAGGUACACAGGCUUCAAGGCAGUUUGUUGUAAGGAAGUAAGGGGAGGUGGUGGGAAUUUGAUGAGGGUGUUGUUUGUCCCCAGCAGAGAUGCAGGCAAUGGCUCUGUACUCCCACUGGCGUUCUUCUUGCCACUUAUAGUUGUCAUAAAGAUAACUGCACUCCUUCUCUUUGCAUCCACCCUUUCCAGUAAUUAAUCUCAGUGGGGGAUUUAUCUGCCCCUGCUAGUUUCAGCGGAAUAAAUCCCACUGUAAUCCACCAUUGAUUAAAGAACUAUUGAUCUUCACCUCUCUGAUUCAGUUCUGGCAUCUCUCAACUUCUCACAUUGCAGUAUCCAGCAGCGUUUACUAAUCAGGCUUCUUUCUUUCAUACCAUUAGUACUGAGAUAAUUUGCUACGUGAAUCCUCAUGUUCAAUUAACUUGAGCUUUCUGGUUCGUUCAAAAGCAAUUUAAAAGUCACUUCUGGCAAUGGUAUCUGCACAAGAAUUAAGUUCUAUUAUGCUAUUUUUCUACUUUCAGUGGCAUUACUGAACCAGAAUGUCUCAGAAAAAGAUGAUCAGUUGCAAAUGGAAGAGAUUGGGAUCUGAAAUGGCAUGCAUUGCCAGCUACUAGCUGAUACCAGAGAAUGCAAAAAAGCUGUGUGCCACCAGUGACCCAUGGUGAAAGCAGGUUUCUCUUGAAAUUCACACCUCACUGCUUGUGUGAGAAGAUGACACGAGAGAGAUGCUGGUACAAAGAAUUGCAGCAGGAUUGCUUGAGUGAUACACCUCGCCUUCCUCGGAGGUCAGGGAACACAGAGUAGAAGUCAGAAGAUUUUGACGUUCACCAGUUUACUCCACUACGUCAAGCCAAUACGUCACAGUUACCUCUGCUUCUCAUCCUGCUCAAAAAGGGUCUUUCGUUAGCUCUGUGAACCUGAAGCAUCAGGGAGGAGAGCUGAUGGAAUCGCAGUCAGAGCCCUGGAAGAGGGCAGGCGAGCAGCUGUAAUGGAAUGACAGCAGGAUCACAGAAAAAAGGUGAGCAAAACAGCACCGAACGCUUAUAUGCAUACUUUUGACCUUGUAUACUCAGCAUGGGAUUGGUGACUGCUUCCCCUUCUCUGGUGACAGUAUCAGCUGCGGUGCCUCUGCUAGGAAGUAACCUGUACGGCUGCCUUAGGUGGCAAGACUGUACCCAGGGAUCAGCUGAUUGCCCCUGGCUGCAGCAUCAGUGCAGCAUCGCAGCUUUUCUCACAUAGAUCUGACUCGUGGCAUCUACAGACAAGGAUCCAUCACCUGCAAGUUCACACAAAACUCAAAAUUUCUCCGUCUGACAAACCACAGGGAUUAAUUAGGUGGGAUGGUUUGUAGAGAGACCUUACUGUAUGCGUACUGUGACUGUGAUUCUGUUCUGGGAGCAUCUUUUUGGGAAGACAGUGCUUGUUGUGAAAGGGCUUACCGUGUAUUUCAUGGGAUGCUGCUUUGUUGUGCCAGAUGGUAAGGAAAAACACUGCUCAGGACCCUACGAUUGCAUGCCCAGCUCUUCUGAAUGUUUCCAAACUCCACCCAUAUUUUGUAUCUGUGGUUUUUGUGUGAGCUUUUUUUUUUUUUUUUUUUAUCUGUCAUUUUUAGUUUCCUUUUUCUUCCUCACCUUCCUUGGUGCAAUCAUCUGGAUAAAUUAGUCCUGUGUCAUCCUUUAAAACAAAGAUUUCUUGCAUUGGAAUAUUCUGAUUCUGAGAAGAACAUACAUGCAUAUAUUUCUUGAAUGCACAUUAACUCUUGAUUCUAUCAGAAACUAGCAUGGGUGAUCCACAGUCAGCUUUUAACUAUGCUUUUUUUUCCAUGUGAUAAUUCUUUUAAACAUGUGAGGACUUAUUUCAAAGAACGUUUUGAUAGUGAAGAACGUACUGUAUCACAUUAGCCAUCUGUGGUGCACAGUUAGACGUUAUUAGGUGAUUAAUACGGAAGAACUUGAAUGCACAGACUUCACAGGACAGAAAUUUAAAACUUCAAUAUUUAUUAGCACCAAAUAUCAAGCAAGCUUCAUGACAACAAGUUGUACUUCCAAGCUGGUAAGUUCUUUAGUUUAGGGAAAGCAAGUGGGUGAUUGUAUGACACAUAAUUCAAUUUAUGUACUCAUGUAUUUGCAUUUGUAAGUCCCGGUGCCUUCAGUUGCUCACAGGUCUGAGUUCACAAUUUCUGUUUUUCCCCAAAAUGUAGGACUAUUUUCAAUUACAAGGUUUAGGGGCAUCUCUGUUCUUGAAAGGCCAAGGAGCACAACUCAGUUGCUCGCCAGAACAAAGUACCUCCGACUUCUGGAGGGAAAUAUUCCUGUUUCUAUUUCUAACGUACUGUCAAGUUCCUGCAGCUGAGCUCGUAGCGUGAAGAAUUUCCCCAGCAGCCCUUCCUCGCUGGUAGCCCCAUGCAGCCUCCCUGCUCACCUCGUACCAGCGUCACUUUCAGGUUAAGUUCCUACAGUUGCAAACCAGUGACCACUGGUGGCGAAGGAGGAGGGCUGCGCGGUGUCCUGAGGAUUAUAAAGAGACGUGGUGACUUGGACUGUCAUAAGCAAUCUGGUAUAGGUACACAGAGGGAGAGGGGAGCUUCCAAAAAAGAGCUAGAACCAGCUCCAUGCUGCAGCGCUCUUUUCCUCAAGAACUUGCAAAUGCUUUGUCUUGAUUGAGUCUGUAAAUAACAAUAACUUCCUUGGUGGGAGGGAAGAGUUCAGGUCCUUCAGAAAUGAAAGCACAAUGGAAAUUGCUGUGUGGGAUAUUGGUGUAGGGUUUUUGUUUGUUUGGCGGAUUUCUUUUGGUAGAAGUUACCUGGGACAGUUAGUUUGCAACAAGGAAAAACAUGGGGAUGACUGCUCUGCGUGGGUGAGCUUUUCAAAACAGCAAAGGGAAUGUUUCUGGGCUGAGGCUGAUCUCAGUAUCUUGGGUGCUAUCAGAAUUGUCUAAUUCUGUCCAUAGAGAACUCUGAGGGGAAGGCCUUUGAGGAAAAGGGAGGUGAGGUGCAUCUAAAUAGAAUUCCACAAACCAGUUCCCAAAAUCCCUUUAUUUCUGUCAUAAUUUGUAUUAUCUUCAGGAUGAGUUCUUUACACCUAAAUCUUUUCGCACUGUCAGUAUGGAAAAAUAAAUACAUAGGCAAUACACAUUAAUAAUUGCUUUUUAUGCUGUACCUUGUACAAAACUUACUUUGUUUUGCACAGAUAUAUACAACUAUGUAUUUUCUUUUGUUGUUUGUAUUUUAAACCGCAUCCUGUAAUAGUCCUGUGGAAACGUAGUGGGAGGUUUAUACUACAUAAAGGAUCCCAUGUUUUCAAAUUAUUCCUUUAACCACUGGUACAGGGAAGUCUGUGUUAAGCACCUCUGUCAUAACAAAAUGUUCUGCCCAAACAACUUCUGCAGAAAUGGUUUCAGUGGAUUGGACAUCUCUUCGCUAAAGAAACAUUCACCGUGAGGCAACCGUCAAGAACCCCAUGUAGCUCUCACUUGCCCUCCUGCAGUGAAUGCUUUCUGGUUGUUUGAGGGAAUGUAAACCGAGGGUUUCCUCCAGGUCAACAAAAAUCACCAUUUCUAGUGAACAGAAUAACAUACCUUUUUCUAUAAGGACAUAGCUUUAUUUAAAAAAAGAAAAAAAGCAAGGUAAAAUGAGUUACGUAGACACUGUUGGAGAACAACCUUUCAAACUGCAGUUGCUGGGUAAGUUACUAAUGAGAGAUUCUUUGUCUUCUUUAACGUACCAGAAAGUAAGAAACAUACAGGGCUCUGUAUUUUGUACUUUUGAUGUCUCAAGCCAAAAGUUGGGAUGAAGUUUUUAUAGGCUGCCCUUAAGUCUCUUUGAAAGUGUUCUCUGUACUUUCUUGUUUUAUUUGCUACCUUUAGCAAGUUUUCUUUUGUAGCCGCCGUGCCAUGCGGACAGAAAGUACUUCAAGCUACACAGUGAGUAUCAUCAGCUCAACCUGACAUUCCUGGGUUGUGCUAAGUAUGCCUGAGAGAAAUAAGCGGGAUGUCAGCUGAAAUGCUGGGCUUGUUGCUGAUUGAAACACCUGUCUGUGCUGAUGUGUAGUUCAGGAAGCAAAGACAACUGAGCUAGGAUAGCUGCUGGGGAAGAGACACUGGACUUUGAAUUUUGAAACAAUGGGAUCCUGAAAAUCGAUAGUAAGCUACAUUUCCCAGGUCCGAGCCUUACUGGGGAAACAAAUUAGGCUGUAAAGGUGAUAGAGCUGCUCUUUGCCCACAGAUUUCCAUAAUAUUCAUUAAUUUAUACUUCAGCGUUUCUGAAGUAUAAAACCAAUGGUGACUACAUGAAACUGAAAGGCAACAUGUUUAAAAGAUCUGACUCUUUUGUUGUUGUUUUUUAACGUAUGUAGCAAGAUGAAAUGGGGAAAUUCAUUGUUACAAUAUAAGACUGAAGUGGAAAUCUUCUCCCAGUUCAGAAAAGGGCUAUAGAUGUGGUCAGUGAGACCAUCUAGCGGUGCACUUAACAGGAUGAAGGAAGACCAAGGAAUACAAGCCUGCCGCUGACCUGAGGGUGGAAGAAAUGUCCACCAACAUUGUGAGGUUUCCUGCAACAGUCUCUGAGCUUUCUGGUUCUCCAUUUUCACACCAUGCCUAUCUAGCCUUUCAUUAGUCUGUCUGCAUUGCUCAGAAGGCACCAGAUUUAGAGGCAAGCUCACUUGUGAACGUGUCUGAAGGGUGCAAUAAAUCAGAAAAGCAGUGUGAGACAAGGUACUUGGCUAAGCAGAGCUCCUUUUGAUCUGACACAGGAGAUCAGGAGUAGGAGUCCCUAAUGUUCCAUUUUAACACUGCCUGGUGUUAACUUCCUCUGUCUUCCUAUGUAAUUUCUGAAUAUAAGCAACUACCUCAGAAAAAGAGAAGUUAUUCACUUUCCAAAUGAUCAGUAACAGAUGAGCUCUAAACAUAAAGGUUGGUUUUGGGUGUACAGCUUUUUGUUACAUUAUUAAACCCGACCCCCCAAUAUUUUCUGAAGUGUUACUUGUAUUGACUAUCACAUAAUUUCAGGUUGCCCUUAAGAGGAAACAGAAAGGGGUAUAAAUUUACCUGGAAAUGGGUAAGCUGCGUAAAUAAAUUAAAGAAAAAAUCAAUAACGAAGGAUAGAUCAAAUCAAAGAUAGGUAAUGAGAAAUGACAAAAAGAAG